rnacentral:lncRNA from 1 species
UUUUUUUGUUUUGUUUUGUUUUGUUUUGAGGCAGGGUUUCUCUGUGCAGCUUUGUAGACCAGGCUGGCCUCAAACUCACAGAGAUCUGCCUGCCUCUGCCUCCCGAGUGCUGGAAUUAAAGUUGUGCACCACCGCCUGGCUCAAAAUGUAUUUUGGAUGUGAAAUGUUCCCCGCAAGGCUUAUGUGUUUGAAUACUUGGUCCCCAGCUAACGAUGAAGUUUGGGAAAACUGUUUGUAGUUGGGAAACUGUAGUUGGAGCGCUGGGAGAGGAAGUACAUCACUGGGGCUAGGCUUUGAGGUCUUGUAGUCCAGACUCACUUCCUGUUCCUUGUUCUGAACACUGACUGCUGAUACAACGUGACAAGCUGGCCUGGUGUGAUAGACUGUAUCUCUAUGGAACUACAAAAAUCUCACAGUGAAGCCCCUGCUGGCCUCAGACAUGAGUUUUCCUGGGAUGAGAUUACAAGCAUGGGCCAUUAUGCCCCAAUUCAACAAAUGUUUUUAUUUGUGUCUCAGUGUUUGUGUGUAUGUAUUCUUACAUGUAUGCCAUUGUGGAUGGAGUUUACUGUUCCACCUGGUCCUGUUGCCAUUUAGCCCCAAAUAAACACACAGGAGACUUUAACUAAUGGUUCAGGCUUCUUAUUGACUAGCUCUCUCUUAAUUGUUAACCCAUUUCUAUGAAUCUAAGUAUACCCACGUGGUUUUAUCUUAUCAGAGAAUGUCCAGACCUGCUACUCCUUCCUCUCUUGCAGCCUCUCUCUGCCUCCUCUCCCUAGAAUUCUCCUGGUCUGGUAGCCCAGCCUAUACUUCUUGCCUGGCUACUAGCCAAUCUGUGUUUUAUUCAUCAACCAAUAAGAGAAACAUAUAUACUGAAGGACAUCCCCCAUCAUGCUACAACCCAUGUGUAGUAGAGGUCAGAGGACAGCUUGCAGGAGUCAGUUCUCUUUUUCCAUCAUGUGGAUCCCAAGGAUAGAACUCAGGUCAUUGGGCUUGGAAGCAAGUGGCUUUACUCGAGGAGUCAGGUUACUUGUCCUCAACAAUCAUUUCUGACAGCCUUAAUAUAAUCUUUAUUCUUUUUUUUUAAGAUUUUAUUUAUUUAUUAUGUAUACAACAUUCUGCUUCCAUGUAUAUCUG